UACGGAGGGUGCAAGCGUUAUCCGGAUUCACUGGGCUUAAAGGGUGCGUAGGCGGCUUGGUAAGUCCGUGGUGAAAUCCCCGAGCUUAACUUGGGAACUGCCGUGGAUACUAUCAGUCUUGAGUAUCGUGAAGGUAAGCGGAAUAUGUCAUGUAGCGGUGAAAUGCUUAGAUAUGACAUAGAACACCAAUUGCGUAGGCAGCUUACUGCUAAUAUAUUGACGCUGAGGGACGAAAGCGUGGGGAGCGAACAGG
rnacentral:rRNA from 1 species